rnacentral:rRNA from 1 species
UACGUAGGGGGCAAGCGUUGUCCGGAUUUAUUGGGCGUAAAGAGCGUGUAGGCGGCCAGGUAGGUGGGUUGUGAAAACUGGAGGCUCAACCUUCAGAGGUCGACCGAAACCAUCUGGCUAGAGUCCGGGAGAGGAGAGUGGAAUUCCUGGUGUAGCGGUGAAAUGCGCAGAUAUCAGGAAGAACACCCGUGGCGAAAGCGGCUCUCUGGAACGGUACUGACGCUGAGACGCGAAAGCGUGGGGAGCGAACAGG